CUGCUGAGUUCUUCCAGCAUUUUGUGUCUGUUGCAAGGCACAAACGGUGACACCGCACCUCGUCUGCGUCAUGACUCCACAGAACUGAGGAUAUUGGUCUGGUAUUGCCACACUUCGCGUUGAUUUUGACAAAGAAGAAAUUCAUUGUUCGGUCCAGGGUUCUCCUGAAGACCCUGACCUGGAGUUACACGCUGACUACGGUUCUUUGCCCGAAUGGGACCCGCUCUCGGGGUUUCACAACUGGCAGUUGUUCAGCAUGACAAGGGCUCAGCCUAAGAGGUUCACUCACCUUCGGAGGACCAAGUUUUCGCGGCUCUGGAGAUGGAGGGACUGGAGGUUGGUGUCCGAGCAGAAGGCCGGUGUGUCAUGAAGAUGGAAGACCUCUGGCUCUGUGCCAAGAGACCCAAGAUCUUUGGGCACAGAGCUCGGAAAAGGUGACGCAAUGGACUUUUAACAUCGUAAACCAGUGAGUUGUUUGUUGCCUCCCGUCUCGCUGUGAAACUUAUUAGGGAGAGAGGGCCUGUGGUAUGUCGAAUACCAGGUGAACAAGUAGUCUUUUGCAGUACUACAAGCCUGUGUCUUUGUUGUUG